rnacentral:rRNA from 1 species
CUUAGCAUAUCAAUAAGCGGAGGAAAAGAAACUAACAAGGAUUCCCCUAGUAACUGCGAGUGAAGCGGGAAAAGCUCAAAUUUAAAAUCUGGCGGUCUCUGGCCGUCCGAGUUGUAAUCUAGAGAAGUAAUGCCCGUGCUGGACCGUGUAUAAGUCUCCUGGGAUGGGGCGUCAUAGAGGGUGAGAAUCCCGUCUUUGACACGGACUACCAGUGCAUUGUGGUAUGCUCUCAAAGAGUCGAGUUGUUUGGGAAUGCAGCUCAAAAUGGGUGGUAAAUUCCAUCUAAAGCUAAAUAUUGGCGAGAGACCGAUAGCGAACAAGUACCGUGAGGGAAAGAUGAAAAGAACUUUGGAAAGAGAGUUAAACAGUACGUGAAAUUGCUGAAAGGGAAACGCUUGAAGUCAGUCGCGUUGGCCGGGGAUCAGCCUUGCUUUUGCAUGGUGUACUUUCUGGUUGACGGGUCAGCAUCAAUUUUGACCGCUGGAAAAAGACCUGGGGAAUGUGGCAGCUUCGGCUGUGUUAUAGCCCCUAGUCGCAUACAGUGGUUGGGAUUGAGGAACUCAGCACGCCGCAAGGCCGGGUUUCGACCACGUUCGUGCUUAGGAUGCUGGCAUAAUGGCUUUAAGCGACCCGUCUUGAAACACGGACCAAGGAGUCUAACAUGCCUGCGAGUAUUUGGGUGGAAAACCCAAGUGCGUAAUGAAAGUGAAAGUUGAGAUCCCUGUCGUGGGGAGCAUCGACGCCCGGACCAGAACUUUUGGGACGGAUCCGCGGUGGAGCAUGUAUGUUGGGACCCGAAAGAUGGUGAACUAUGCCUGAAUAGGGUGAAGCCAGAGGAAACUCUGGUGGAGGCUCGUAGCGAUUCUGACGUGCAAAUCGAUCGUCAAAUUUGGGUAUAGGGGCGAAAGACUAAUCGAACCAUCUAGUAGCUGUUCCUGCCGAAGUUC